rnacentral:rRNA from 1 species
AAGGCUUCAGUACGACCCAGUCAGAACUAUAAGUCUCAAAGCCCCGACGAGUAGGGUGGCGUGCCGGUGCGCGUUGAAGGCCAAGACGUGAGUCAGGCUGGAGCCGCCGGUAGUGCAGAUCUUGGUGGUAGUAGCAAGUACUCUGGUGAACCAACCUGGAGCUGUGAGGUCUGGAUCAGGGUUCCAUGUCAACAGUGAUUGAACAUGGGUGAGUCGAUCCUAAGCCAACUGUGAAAGCAGUGACAUCCCGACAACGGAGCAUUACGUGCGCUGCACUUACACCCCCAAACCAAAGCUCUCGAGUAUCUCUCUCUGUGAUGGAUGGUACGCAAAGUGCGCACUCGCUCUAAUCACUGCAAAAAUGUGGUAUUGCUUGUGCAAGCUUGCUUUUCUGGUUACGCUCAUAAGCGUUGAGGCUCUGUGAAUAAAGAGAGAAAGAGAGUGGGUGAGCGUGAGAUUGCCCUCGCAUGGCUCUUGCGUUGGUUCUAUGUCUGGCGAAAGGGAAUGGGGACUUUGUUCCUUGACCGGUCCCGGCACCCUCGAUUGGCUCUGCCAAUUAAUGGUCCAUGCAAAUGGAACCAGGCCACAGCCGCCGGCAGUCGCCCGAGGAAGAGUUUUCUUUUCUGCUUAACGCACGAGGUCAUCCCUGGAAACAGUUCGGCUGGCGAAAGGGUGCCCCGUUGCGGCAGAGCGCCACGACUGUCGUGCGCGUCUCGGUGUUCCUGCCGGUCCGUGAAGACGUGGUCGAGGGGAUUGCUCUUGUAUCAACGAAACGCCCGACAAGUUCGGGACGGACCGUACCCUAUAUCCGCAUCUGGUCUCCAAGGUUCGUAGCCUCUGCAGAGUCAGACACAUGUAGGUAAGGGAAGUCGGCAAACUCGAUCCGUAACUUCGGGAAAAGGAUUGGCUCUGAGGGCCGAGCUGGGCCGGGCCUUGCCUGCAAAGCAGUACCUAUAGUGACCGGAGUUUCAGGAGUGCGAGGGGCUCUAGUAGCUGCUUGCGUGCGUGUGCGUUCGCGCGUGCGCGUGUGUGGGCACGAACGAGUCCACCGCUCCGCUCCAACCACGAACGGCUGUGACGGCAAGGGCUCUGGGCGGGAGCGAUCAAACCGUUGGCCUCCAGCUCGUCUGGCUGGCGGCGGUGCUCCGUCUGACCCAUACGGCUCCAGCGGCUAGCGGCUAACUCAGAACUGUCAUGGACCAAGGGAAUCCGACUGUCUAAUUAAAACAAAGCGUCGUGACGGCCCC